GAUGAAGAACGUAGUGAAAUGCGAUAAGUAAUGUGAAUUGCAGAAUUCAGUGAAUCAUCGAAUCUUUGAACGCACAUUGCGCCCGCCAGUAUUCUGGCGGGCAUGCCUGUUCGAGCGUCAUUUCAACCAUCAAGCCCCAGGCUUGUGUUGGAGCCCUGCGGCUGCCGCAGCCUCCCAAAACCAGUGGCGGGCUCGCUAUCACACCGAGUGCAGUAGUUUACUCUUCGCUCAGGGCGUGUGGCGGGUGCUAGCCGUAAAACCCCCAACUUCUCAAGGUUGACCUCGGAUCAGGUAGAAAUACCCGCUGAACUUAAGCAUAUCAAUAAGCGGAGGA
rnacentral:misc_RNA from 1 species